rnacentral:rRNA from 1 species
AUUGAACGCUGGCGGCAGGCCUAACACAUGCAAGUCGAGCGAGCGGCGGACGGGUGAGUAAUGUAUGGGGAACUGCCUGAUAGAGGGGGAUAACUACUGGAAACGGUGGCUAAUACCGCAUACCAUCGGAUGUACCCAUAUGGGAUUAGCUAGUAGGUGGGGUAAAGGCUCACCAAGGCGACGAUCCCUAGCUGGUCUGAGAGGAUGACCAGCCACACUGGAACUGAGACACGGCCCAGACUCCUACGGGAGGCAGCAGUGGGGAAUAUUGCACAAUGGGCGCAAGCCUGAUACAGCCAUGCCGCGUGUAUGAAGAAGGCCUUCGGGUUGUAAAGUACUUGCAGCGGGGAGGCGUUACCCGCAGAAGAAGCACCGGCUAACUCCGUGCCAGCAGCCGCGGUAAUAC